rnacentral:tRNA from 3 species
UAAAGUAUAGCUAAAAUAGUAUAGCAUUUCAGUUACGUUGAAAGGGAUUAUCGUGCAAGUCGGUUUACUUUAA